rnacentral:rRNA from 1 species
UACGGAGGGUGCAAACGUUGCUCGGAAUCACUGGGCGUAAAGCGCACGUAGGCGGACUCUUAAGUCGGUGGUGAAAUCCUGGAGCUCAACUCCAGAACUGCCUUCGAUACUGAGAGUCUCGAGUCCGAGAGAGGUGAGUGGAACUGCGAGUGUAGAGGUGAAAUUCGUAGAUAUUCGCAAGAACACCAGUGGCGAAGGCGGCUCACUGGCUCGGUACUGACGCUGAGGUGCGAAAGCGUGGGGAGCAAACAGG